CGAAUGGCUCAUUAUAUAAGUUAUCGUUUAUUUGAUAGUACCUUACUACUUGGAUAACCGUGGUAAUUCUAGAGCUAAUACAUGCUAAAAAUCCCGACUUCGGAAGGGAUGUAUUUAUUAGAUUAAAAACCAAUGCCCUCUGGGCUCCUUGGUGAUUCAUAAUAACUUUUCGAAUCGCAUGGCCUUGCGCCGGCGAUGGUUCAUUCAAAUUUCUUCCCUAUCAACUUUCGAUGUUUGGGUAUUGGCCAAACAUGGUCGCAACGGGUAACGGAGGGUUAGGGCUCGACCCCGGAGAAGGAGCCUGAGAAACGGCUACUACAUCCAAGGAAGGCAGCAGGCGCGCAAAUUACCCAAUCCCGAUUCGGGGAGGUAGUGACAAUAAAUACUGAUACAGGGCUCUUUUGGGUCUUGUAAUUGGAAUGAGUACAAUUUAAAUCUCUUAACGAGGAACAAUUGGAGGGCAAGUCUGGUGCCAGCAGCCGCGGUAAUUCCAGCUCCAAUAGCGUAUAUUAAAGUUGUUGUGGUUAAAAAGCUCGUAGUUGAACCUUGGGCCUGGCUGGCCGGUCCGCCUCACCGCGUGUACUGGUCCGGCCGGGCCUUUCCCUCUGUGGAACCUCAUGCCCUUCACUGGGUGUGGCGGGGAAACAGGACUUUUACUUUGAAAAAAUUAGAGUGCUCCAGGCAGGCCUAUGCUCGAAUACAUUAGCAUGGAAUAAUGAAAUAGGACGUGUGGUUCUAUUUUGUUGGUUUCUAGGACCGCCGUAAUGAUUAAUAGGGACAGUCGGGGGCAUCAGUAUUCAAUUGUCAGAGGUGAAAUUCUUGGAUUUAUUGAAGACUAACUACUGCGAAAGCAUUUGCCAAGGAUGUUUUCAUUAAUCAGGAACGAAAGUUAGGGGAUCGAAGACGAUCAGAUACCGUCGUAGUCUUAACCAUAAACUAUGCCGACUAGGGAUCGGACGAUGUUAUUUUUUGACGCGUU
rnacentral:rRNA from 1 species